CAAGGUCGCGGUAGCUACUUUGAAUGUACUAGUUCCCAGGAAUCAUUGACGUUAAGCAACGUUACGCGUGGUUGGUAUUCGGAUGGGUGCCCAUCUGGACAACCGCGUACUGACUUUUC
rnacentral:rRNA from 1 species